AGUAGCGGCGAGUGAAGCGGCAAAAGCUCAAAUUUGAAAUCUGGCGCCUUCGGUGUCCGAGUUGUAAUUUGAAGAUUGUAACCUUGGGGUUGGCUCUUGUCUAUGUUUCUUGGAACAGGACGUCACAGAGGGUGAGAAUCCCGUGCGAUGAGAUGCCCAAUUCUAUGUAAGGUGCUUUCGAAGAGUCGAGUUGUUUGGGAAUGCAGCUCUAAGUGGGUGGUAAAUUCCAUCUAAAGCUAAAUAUUGGCGAGAGACCGAUAGCGAACAAGUACAGUGAUGGAAAGAUGAAAAGAACUUUGAAAAGAGAGUGAAAAAGUACGUGAAAUUGUUGAAAGGGAAGGGUUUGAGAUCAGACUCGAUAUUUUGUGAGCCUUGCCUUCGUGGCGGGGUGACCCGCAGCUUAUCGGGCCAGCAUCGGUUUGGGCGGUAGGAUAAUGGCGUAGGAAUGUGACUUUACUUCGGUGAAGUGUUAUAGCCUGCGUUGAUGCUGCCUGCCUAGACCGAGGACUGCGAUUUUAUCAAGGAUGCUGGCAUAAUGAUCCC
rnacentral:rRNA from 1 species